AGACGUCUACAUUAGAUACCCCGGUAGUCCCAGCCGUAAACUAUGCGCGUUAGGUGUAUCGGUGACCACGAGUCACCGAGGUGCCGAAGGGAAACCGUGAAACGUGCCGCCUGGGAAGUACGGGUCGCAAGGCUGAAACUUAAAGGAAUUGGCGGGGAGCACCACAACGGGUGGAGCCUGCGGUUUAAUUGGACUCAACGCCGGGAAGCUCACCGGAUAAGACAGCGGAAUGAUUGCCGGGCUGAAGACUCUGCAUGACUAGCUG
rnacentral:rRNA from 1 species